ensembl:lncRNA
CUUUAGAAACCCCCCUUUACAUCCCUUCCUGAUUAUCACCUAUUUAGUUGCCCAGCCAAAGCUAAAAUCAGUGCCUUUCACCCUGACUAUGCUUUAGGAUCACUUGGAGAAUAUUUAAAUAAAGUUAUACUUUGGAUCCCAACUCAAACCAACUAAGUCGGGAUCCCUAGAGGUGGGGCCCUGGCAUCUAUAUUUUUAAGAAAUCCUUAGGUGAUGCUCUUGAUGCCAUUGCUUUGACCCGCUGGCUUAGAGUCUCUGAGCUGAUAGCUGAGGGUCAGAGAGGCGUCCUUCUCUCCAUGGCACCGACGGCCUCACCUUUGCAGCUCGUAUCCCAACAGCCUGGCUAAGAACGUUUAGGAAAAGAGAAAACCAGCACGUGUGCAGCUCAUUUCUUUAGCAGGUCUACACGUCCUGCCCUAACACUCAUCUGACCCUCAGAUAACUCCAUCUGAAUCCCAGGCUGCCCAGUGCGGAAAGCACAGGCCAAAGCUGAAGUCCUCGCUGUCCUCUGUGUUUCCUAAACACCUGCGGGGAACACAGCACCGUCCAGCAAGGCAGCAUCAGAUCAGGGCAGCUGCUUUGGACGGAGGCUGGGCGUGGCAAAUAAAAGCAAACCACAGUAGUGGUCAGCAAUUCAUCCAAGCGCUCCCCGGAAGAGUGCCCUGAGCAGGCUGAGCUGGCGCUUCACUCUUCCUCCAAGAGCGCGGCGCCCUUUUAUCUCAGUCCUGGGCAGGUGUGGUAGCCAGUUAUCCUUCCCCUUCAUUUUCAUCCCCUCUCACCUGAUCCUUUAGCCUAAGCUCUGACUCCAGGGUCCACGGCCCACACCACUGACCUCUCAUUCAUCAGCAGUGCCUACGAGUCAGCGAACUUGACCUGCAGGAUCCCCUUAUCACACAUCCUAAACGUCUGAAUCAGUGACUCUUGAUCACGGCUGGACUCCCCUGAGAAGAUUACGUGUAUACAUACGUACUGAUAGUGCUUUGUGGUAGCGAUGGGGAAGAAGUUGUGGCCAGUGGCCUGCUCUGCCCUCACCCUCUGCAGAAGCCUCACAGAGACACUGUCAGCAGCCUCCACAGCCACGAGGACGCCCCCACUGAACCUUCAUCUUCCAUCAUGGCCCGAAGGUUUUGCUCACACUCCCCAGCCUCAGUAGGGAACCCUUUACACCUACCCCUACUGCUAAGUCUCCCUGGAACCAAACACACGGCUGAUGAUCCUGAGGCUUCUUGUCUCUGAGGCCAGCUUUGCGGAACCUCGCAGUGCUGGCAAAGUGAGACAUGUAAGAGAAAUGCCUCGUGGGCACCGGCAGGCAGCCACAGUGGUUCAGCAGAGGAGAGGGCUGGAGGUAGGUGACCAGCUGUCCCGGCUUGCUUGUCUCAGUGUGAAAACUAGGGCAAUCUAGGACAAGCCAGAUCCAUAGGCCAUGCUAUGGCUUUGUACCCUUCUGGAAUGGAAACUCCUGUGGGGCAGAGAGCCUUCCUUAAUGCAAGCAUAUUCUGUCUUCUUUUUGCUCUGUACCCAUGCAGGAGUUAAUUUUCCAAUUUUGUCUUUUUGUUUUUCAAAAUAUUAAGCAAUUAAUGUGU